UGGGGAAUAUUGCGCAAUGGGCGAAAGCCUGACGCAGCGACGCCUCGUGAGGGAUGAAGGUCUUCGGAUCGUAAACCUCUGUCAAGAGGGAAGAAACCCUUGGGUUCAAAUAGGGCCCUUGGCUGACGGUACCUCAAAAGGAAGCACCGGCUAACUCCGUGCCAGCAGCCGCGGUAAUACGGAGGGUGCAAGCGUUAAUCGGAAUCACUGGGCGUAAAGCGCUCGUAGGCGGUUUGGUCAGUCAGAUGUGAAAGCCCACGGCUUAACCGUGGAACUGCAUUUGAUACUGCCAGACUUGAGUGUCGGAGAGGGUGGCGGAAUUCCGGGUGUAGGAGUGAAAUCCGUAGAUAUCCGGAGGAACACCAGUGGCGAAGGCGGCCACCUGGACGACAACUGACGCUGAGGAGCGAAAGCGUGGGGAGCAAACA
rnacentral:rRNA from 1 species